UACAGAGGGUGCAAGCGUUGUUCGGAAUUACUGGGCGUAAAGCGCACGUAGGCGGCUUUGUAAGUUAGAGGUGAAAGCCCGGGGCUCAACCCCGGAAUUGCCUUUAAGACUGCAUCGCUUGAAUCCGGGAGAGGUGAGUGGAAUUCCGAGUGUAGAGGUGAAAUUCGUAGAUAUUCGGAAGAACACCAGUGGCGAAGGCGGCUCACUGGACCGGCAUUGACGCUGAGGUGCGAAAGCGUGGGGAGCAAACAGG
rnacentral:rRNA from 1 species